GACAGAGGUGCCAAGCGUUAGGCGGAAUCACUGGGCUUAAAGCGUGUGUAGGUGGAUUUGUAAGUACCUUGUGAAAUCCCACGGCUCAACCGUGGAACUGCUUGGUAUACUGCGAAUCUUGAGCCAAUUAGGGGCUACCGGAACAAAUGGUGGAGCGGUGAAAUGCGUAGAGAUCCGGAGGAACCCCAGAGGCGAAGGCGGCGUCCUGGCUCACAACUGACGCUCAGACACGACAGCAUGGGGAGCGAACGGG
rnacentral:rRNA from 1 species